GAACGCUAGCUACAGGCUUAACACAUGCAAGUCGAGGGGCAGCAUGGUCUUAGCUUGCUAAGACUGAUGGCGACCGGCGCACGGGUGAGUAACACGUAUCCAACCUGGCCCAUACUCGGGUAUAGCCUCUCGAAAGGGAGAUUAAUCCCCGAUGUUGUUGGAUUGCCGCAUGGUUUUUCAACCAAAGAAUUUCGGUAUGGGAUGGGGAUGCGUUCCAUUAGCUAGAUGGUGAGGUAACGGCUCACCAUGGCGACGAUACAUAGGGGGACUGAGAGGUUAACCCCCCACACUGGUACUGAGACACGGACCAGACUCCUACGGGAGGCAGCAGUGAGGAAUAUUGGUCAAUGGACGCAAGUCUGAACCAGCCAUGCCGCGUGCAGGAAGACGGCUCUAUGAGUUGUAAACUGCUUUUGUACAAGGGUAAACCUCGGUACGAGUACCGAGCUGAAAGUACUGUACGAAUAAGGAUCGGCUAACUCCGUG
rnacentral:rRNA from 1 species